CCUUAUGUCUUGGGCUUCACGCAUGCUACAAUGGCCGGUACAAAGGGCUGCAAUACCGUGAGGUGGAGCGAAUCCCAAAAAGCCGGUCCCAGUUCGGAUUGAGGUCUGCAACUCGACCUCAUGAAGUCGGAGUCGCUAGUAAUCGCAGAUCAGCAACGCUGCGGUGAAUACGUUCCC
rnacentral:rRNA from 1 species